UAAUACGUAGGGGGCAAGCGUUGUCCGGAAUUAUUGGGCGUAAAGCGCGCGCAGGCGGUUCUUUAAGUCUGGUGUCUAAGUGCGGGGCUCAACCCCGUGAUGCACUGGAAACUGGGGAACUUGAGUGCAGAAGAGGAGAGCGGAAUUCCACGUGUAGCGGUGAAAUGCGUAGAGAUGUGGAGGAACACCAGUGGCGAAGGCGGCUCUCUGGACUGUAACUGACGCUGAGGCGCGAAAGCGUGGGGAGCAAACAGGAUUAGAUACCCUGGUAGUCCACGCUGUAAACGAUGAGUGCUAGGUGUUGGGGGUAUCAUGCCCUCGGUGCCGAAGUUAACACAUUAAGCACUCCGCCUGGGGAGUACGGUCGCAAGACUG
rnacentral:rRNA from 1 species